AGAUUCCCAUCUUUUAACGCUCUGAUCGCGUUCCUCUUUUCGCCCCCCCCCCCCACACACACUCUCUCGGAGUUUGCUGAGCCGAACGUGGCCGGGCUCCAUUUUUUUGAUUUCAGUUUCAUGAAUUUCCUUGCUCGAUCUUUUUCUUAUUUGUUCAUCUCGCAAUUGCUGUGCAAGCUCCCCUUCCUCUGUUUUUCUUUUUUUGCUGUCCGCCUUUCCUCCCUCCCUCCUCCCCCAUCUUCUUUCUGCUACACGUCUCACUGCACGUGUAUUUUUAUCACACACACGCACAGGCAAACAGACACGCUCUUGCGCUGCAUAUAUAUAUAUACUCUUCUACUUCCCCCAAGUGCGCGCUUUUUCCGCAAGUGUGUGUGUGUACCGGUGAGGGGCCGCAGACCUCUGUCAAACCGCCACACCUGUAUUCUCUUGUUUAUUAUUAUUGUGUGAGUCGUGUGUGCGUGUAGGAGGCAAAACCUGGGAAACAAAAAGAGAAAAGCCUGCAACCCCCCCCUUCACACGCCCCACCACAAACGUGUGAUUUGACGACCUUGUGAGUUGGGCUCUCUCACCCCCCCCCCGCCUCCGCUCACUUCGUAGAAGAAUUCCCUGAAUUCCCGUGAUAAACAUACAGAGAUAGAGAAGAGCAGAAAUUAUAAAGUCUAGCCUUGGAAAGAGAGAGAAGGCGCGUAGGUACACCACACCAGCAGGUAACGGUGCCUCUUCUCUAUUUUUCCUUGAAGGGACCACUCUCAUCAUCUCCGUCGACACCCCCUAUCCAGAGAGCCAAAGGCAAAGAGGGACGUGCACCGCUUCACACGCCCCAGAAAAGCUCCCACUCGCUGCUUCCCUAACAGACUUCUCUUGUCACAGGGACUCCUGUAUUCAUUCUUUUUUUCAGAUUCCCUUUCGUUUGCUACGUCUUUUUCUCCUUUUUCUUUAUCUCUUCUCUAUUUUUCGGUAGGUCCUGCACUCGUCCUUUUCAAGAUCUCUUUCUCUUCGCUCAUCUGUUCCUCUGUUCUGCCCGUUCUCCUGAACGCCCCCUCCCCCCGCCUCGCCCUCUCUUUCACCUCUCCCCCCCCAAUUUCCGAAGAAGCAACGGUUAAAAGCCCGCGCACUCACCUACACAUAGAAUGGCCAAAACAGCGCUUCUCGUGGGCGCUCUGCUCGCCCUCGUCAUGUGCCUGGCGGCGACGGCCGUCUCGGCGCAGCGGUCGCUGGAGUGUCAAAUGGUGUGGCAAGGUCCUUCCUCUAACAACAGCCUGCUGGAGUGCCUGGGGAACACGGAUCGCAUCCGGUCCCAGUGGCCCUACUACCUGUAUCCCGCCUUCGCUGCGCUCGUGUUCAUCUUCACGGUGAUUGGGCUGCCGAUUCUGUUCUGCUGCCACUGCUGCAGCUGCUGCGAGGCGUAUGUGAAGCCGAAGGCGGAGACGGACCUCGGCGUUGCCCGCUGCUGCCUAUGGAUGUGGAUCGUGAUUUCGGUGCUUGUGGCGUGCGGCGUGUGCGUGCUGCUGGUGUAUGGCUCCGUCUUACUGGAGCAGGCAGCCAAACAAAUUAUCCACGACACCGAGUAUCGCACGCUUGAUUACUUCAACGACACCCGUGCGAACAUCACGAUGCUGCUGACAAACUACAGCGCGGACCCACCGACACCACCGUCAAUCGACCUUAGCGCCUUUGACGCCGUGAACGAUAAUGUUACCUACUACGUGCACCUGGCGCGCAACAACUACCUCAAGUACUUCCGCGCUGCCGAGAUUGUGGUCUGCUGCGUCGGCAGCGUCGGUGUUUUCCUGAUGCUGUGCAUGCUGAUCUUUGCGCUGUGCCGUUGCAGUGGGAUCUGCCCGAUUGUGUGGAGCUGCCUGUACUUCGUGUUCGCGCUUGCAUUUGCGUUGCUUGCGGUGCUGUUCACGAUAUGCAUCUACGUGAUGUCCGCCGGCUGCGGCGAGGUGGACCUCCAGUACAGCCGUGAGCCUGGCGUCUUUCAGUGGUACCUGGUGCCGUGGUGCGAGAAGCAGUUCGACUUCCAGGCGCUGCGGGCUCAGGUGCAGAGCCAGGAGCAGCAGGUCUCGCAGAGCGCCUGCGGGGCGCUCUUGAACUUCUGUGACAACGAUCCGAAUUACUCGUUGGAGAAUAAAAACCACAUCUUCAUGUGCGGCAACAGCAUCACCGACAAAAGCCAGUGCAACUCGCUGGACGACGUGGUGGACGUUGUUCUGAGCACAUACGUGAAGCCGAUGCUGACGAACACGCUAUGUGCCAACCAGACGGGCAUGAAGUACCUGGAGAAGUGUACAGUGAAGUCGUGCGCAUCGCGGUGUGCAAACUACGCCGCUCUGGACCUGUAUCCCCGGACGUACUCCAUUCAAAUUCUGCAGGCUUCUGACUUUGCUGCGAAUGCGAGCACUGCGCUGUCAUACGUGUGGCCGCUGCUGGAGUGCAACUUCAUCAUUGACAAGAUUGCCAACACAGUCGAGACGCGGAACUACAACAGCAGCUUCACCACGCAGAGCGAUUAUGUGCGCAGCUGCUCUGCGGUCCGCGUAUCCUCGGUGAUGCUGGGUACCGGUUUCUUUGUCGGGGCGCUCAUGUUCAUCCUCGGCAUUCACGUCAUGCAUCGCGGUGCGUGGAUCAGGGUGCCAGUGGGCAAAAGUGAGGAUUUAGGAGUGACGCGAAAGUGGAGGGAGUAGGCGCUGCGCCUUGUGCGAGGCUUUUCAGCAGCGCCUCCCCCCCUCCCCCCACACACACACACACCUUCCCGCUCUACCUCUGCUUCUCCUUUGCCUUUCCUGGUCCAGCGGUGUAUGGCUAAGAAAGGGGAGCGUACGUGCGGAGGCGAUCGAGCGGGCAAAGUACAUGCGAGCUCGACGUGCAAAAGCGAACCAGGCAGCGAGGGGACCUGCGAAUGUGGUGCCGUGGAGGGGGUGCUGCCGACUGUGGGCGGCGAAAGCGCGUCGCAGCGGAUAAGUGAUAGAACGGGGCUUCGAUAGAAAGAGCAGUAGGCAUGUAAAGUGAUGACGUUGUUGGGGGACCGCUUCUUGCGUUGGGUCGUUCUCGUCACUGUCUCUGGCAUUUGCGGCAUGUAUUUCCGUGCGUGCAACACGUAUGGAAGUGGUAAAAGUGAAGUGCGCGCGGUGAGGCUUAAAGAGACUGAAGGCGAAAAAGAGGAGCCCGCUGGAGCGGUGCGUGCAAGGCGGGCAUGUAUCGAAAUACCUCCAUCCUUCAUGGAGCAGGAGAACCUGCUCUCUGCGAGCUGCUUCGGCUUUGCCCUUUUCUCCGUUUUUCGUCACGGCCCCCACUCCCGCCGCACUCGGUCUCUGUUCUUGAGGCCAUCCUCUGAAUUUGGCUGCAUAAGCGUGAGAAACGUGAGUAACCCCCCGGACUCCUUAGAACAUGCAUACACACACACACACACACACGCAGGCGCAUCAAGAAAAAGCGCGUGAGUGUGUUCCUUUGUGGUGAUGAAGCCGGCCACGUUUGGGGCGUUCCGCCGUACACGUGAGUGGCAGGCCGAUAAUCGGCACAGGGGAGAUGGCGACACGAACAUGUAGAACAGUUUCUGCAGUUCCGAUUGCUGGCUUAUUACUGCGGGCGAGCAGUGGGUUUAUGGGUGUGUGUAUAGUCGUGUUGCCUUGAUGUGUGUGUCUGAACAUCACACUGCGCUAUCGUGUAGGCGUUUGAGUGCGUGUGCGUGCGUGUGUGUCGGCACAGGCACGGUGCGUGUUGAUAAUUUUAGUUUCAGUGCCCUCCUCCUCCUCCUUCCCUCUCUCUUGUGUGUGUGUGUGUUUCUGAGUUUGUUUGCCCCCGGCUGCAGUGGCACCUCCGCCUAACUUUGCACAUGUGUAAGUGUUUUUUUUUUUCGUUAUUAUCUGUGUGUCUGAGUGCCUAGCUGUCUCUUGAUGUAUUCGUGCAUGGGCGCUCUUGCCGUUCUGGUUGAUCUCUCCCUCGCUCCAUCCACACCCUGUCUCUUACUGACCCCUCCCCCCACUCUACCUCCACCUCCCCCCGGACUUAUGUACUUGCUCUUUUCUAUCACCGUCGUGCGAGUGCGUUGAUGCGCCUGCUUCUCUUUUUCGUUGUCUUCGUUCUAUUCUUCCGUAGCCACAAUCCGGUCUCGCGCGCUGCACUGCUUUGCGCGGCUUCGUCUUCGAAUGUUCGCUUUCUUCUCUCGUUUUUCGUUUUUUUUUGUCAUCUGCGCUUGUUGGCGUCCACCCUCCACCCCCCCCCCCUGUGUGUGCGUGUGUGUGUGCGUGUGCGUGUGCGUGUGUGUGUGCAUGCGUAAUAUCGAUCUGUACGGUAAAGAUCACCAAAGCCGCCGCCAUCACAGCCGCCCAUAAGAACAACAGGGAAAGGUCAAGCAAAGAGAAGCACACUCACGCACAGGGGAACCGCACCGCAGACUAGCAGGGAAGGUGGACCGCCCGAUUGAAUCGGGCACGAAGAACCCAACAACAACAAAAAGGGAGGAUGAUUUUCUCUCCCGUCGUUUCGCGAUGAUGCGCGUAUGUAUGUGUGCGUGAUGAGCGCAUCCACAAACUACCACAUGGACGCAUGUAUACACAUUCUAAGAUACGCACCCGCAUCGGCACUAGCAUGCGAGGUUACCGCGCAGAUGCACUAGAGGUGUGCCACCACCGGAGCGCAGAUAUAAGAAAGUCUUUUUGCCCCCCCCCCCCACCCCCACCUCCACUCUUCACGGCCGCAUUUCUUUCUCUUGGUGAAGAUGACUCUUAUGCGUGCGCUCCAGUAGUGCUUGUGCUGCUGUAAAUCGCAGGUGCUCUUCCUGGUGAUUACGGGGAAGCGUGACCAGGAUGCUGCCGCUGCGGUUGCGCUGCGAGGCCUUCUCCCUAAUGCCCCUCCACCGAGUUCUCUCUCACCUGUGCGGCAUGUGUGGCAGUUUCGCUUCUUUUUUUUUCUUGUUACUCUCGCUCUUGGAGCCCCUUCUUCCUCUCUCUUUUCUCACAGUAGGGAACGAGCCACUUCUCACGCCGGGGCAUGUCUUUGUAUGCAUGUGCCUGCAUGUGUGUGUAUUGUGUGCCAUCCCGUGCGCGUGUGUAUGGGUGUGCCGGAUAGUGGCUGAGCCUCUCUCUCGUCCUUCUUUCCGAAUGCCCUUCAUGCUAUCAUGGGCCCCUCUCUGUGUUUUCGAUCCCCGACUAGCCUCUCUCUCCCCUCUCCACGUCUUCUGUUGUCGCUGCAUGCGCAUGUGUGCGCGUGUUGGCCGCCACUGGCGUGGUGCUGCACGAUUCGGUGCGAGUGCCGUUCCUGCCAACACGCACGCACAUGCACGCAUCCUUUUAUACACGCGCCCCUUUUUGUACUGGCCUGUUCAUGCCUGCCUUCACCCCUCCCUCCCUCCUCAUGCUUGUUUGCCCGGACGGCAUCUGGAAACGCCUCAGUGGGCGGUGCCCAGGGUCCGCGGCCCACUCUGUGUGGGGAAGCCAGACAGCCCCUCUCCCCCCUUAUCCCUCCCAGCGCCGAGCCACACCUGGCGGUGGCGGGACCAAGCACCGAAGGCUUUGUGGAUUCAGUGCGGUGCGUCGCUACUGCCGUCGGCGGCGAGGUCGCGGACGGCGUUGCGUCGGAGCGGACUGCGACCGUGCACGCGCUUGUGCCAUGGACAUGCUAGUCAGCGUGUGAAGGUGGCUCGGACGUAUGGCGCCCGCGGCCCUGACUGGGUAGUUGUGGGGAGCCUGCGCCACCCGGAGGGAUGCACGAGGCGGUGACCCGCCUAAUGGGAGGCGGCUGUGGGGCGGCCUGCGGAGCCGGUGGGGGUGCGGGGCCGGGUGUGUGUAUGGGGGAUUAGGUUGGUGUUGUAUGGCAGUAGAUAUAUAUGUGUAUGCUAAGAAAAUCUGUCGUCUGCCUUUGCUGUGUUCUGUCGUUGCUUAUUUUGUCGGCAACCAAAUGCGCAGAAUGGAGCAGUGUAAGGCGCUGUCGUUCUCGACUCGAGCACACGCCUUUGUCUCCCUCUGCGCUUCUUGUGAGGGAGUGCCACUCUUUGGGUGUGUCCUCCUCCGCUCUUCCCUCUAUACGCGGCCUAUAUCAAGGUUUUUCUUCCUGUAGUGAGGAGGAAGAGGGGUGGCUGAUGUGCCACACCUCUUCCGGGCUCAAUUAUAGGACUCCAGCCCUCGCAUCUCGUUGUUUCUCGAGAAAGAGAUGCGAUUCUAAAGGAGGGUGAUGGUGAAGAAACAUUUCCGGUAUUUCCAGCUGCAGGGAUGGAUGGGCAGUUGAGGGUGAGAGACGCAGUGCUUGGUCUGACAGCAAGUGCCACACAAACAAGGAAGCCCAUAACGUGGGCGCCAGGCACGUCUCCGUGCUGCCGCUCAGCAGGCACCGCACAAGCACGGUGCAUAGUGAGCAACGCUCGACAGAUGUCGCUAUCCUUGCACCAGCAUCACGAGGAUGUGUGUGUGUGUGUGUGUGCAGACCUGAAGCGUACUCUUCGUGAUGUGCAGUGUUUUCCUUCUUCCCAUUGCCUUCGCAUCCCCUGCUGCUUAAGUGCGGGACAUAAG
rnacentral:misc_RNA from 1 species